GUGGGGAAUAUUGCACAAUGGACGGAAGUCUGAUGCAGCAACGCCGCGUGCGGGAUGACGGCCUUCGGGUUGUAAACCGCUUUCAGCCAUGACGAAGCGCAAGUGACGGUAGUGGCAGAAGAAGCACCGGCUAACUACGUGCCAGCAGCCGCGGUGAUACGUAGGGUGCGAGCGUUGUCCGGAUUUAUUGGGCGUAAAGAGCUUGUAGGCGGUUGAUUGCGUCGAAAGUGCAAACUCAGGGCUUAACUCUGAGCCUGCUUUCGAUACGGGUCGACUUGAGGAAUGUAGGGGAGAAUGGAAUUCCCGGUGGAGCGGUGGAAUGCGCAGAUAUCGGGAGGAACACCAGUGGCGAAGGCGGUUCUCUGGACAUUUCCUGACGCUGAGAAGCGAAAGCGUGGGGAGCAAACAGG
rnacentral:rRNA from 1 species